UUUUAAAUUGCUGUAGUAUUUUGACUAUACAAAGGUAUUGUAAUAAGACUUUAAUUGAGUGCUAAAAGAAUGGAAUUACAAAAAAAGGCUUUUUUAAUUUUAAAAAUUAAAAUUAUUUUUUUUUGUGAAGAAACAAAAAUUUAAAUUAAAGACAAGAAGACCCUAAGAAUUUUUUUUUUUAUUAAAAUAAUAUUUUAUUUUAAAAAUUUAAUUGGGGCGAUUAAUUAAUAUUAAAAACUUUAUUAACAAAAAAAAAUGAUCCAUUAUUAAUGAUUAUUUGAUUAAAAUACUCUAGGGAUAACAGCGUAAUAAUUUUUGAUAGUUCUUAUAGAAUAAAUAGUUUGCGACCUCGAUGUUGGAUUAGGAUUCUUUUUU
rnacentral:rRNA from 1 species